GUUGAUAUUUAACAAUACAAAUCAUUCUCAUAUUUGAAUUUUACUUGCUGUGGUAGAUUUUAUUUUCUAUGAGAAAUUAUCUAUAAAAAUAAACCCUAAAGUCACCACAAGAAUGCAACUUGAAGUCUAAUUUGAUUCAGAUUCAUUUAUCUAUUUGAAUUUCAUCAUCAUACAUACAGUUUUAUAUGAUGAGGAACUCCAAAGGAUUUUUUGCAUUGCUUGACGUGCUUGCUUCAGCGGGUCUGGCUAGAUUGUGCCACGCAAUAUCUAGAGCUAAGUAACGGGAUGGCGUGUGUUGAUAUUGUAGGUACUUGAACUUUAUGGUGUACAAAAUAGCAUCUGAUUUGGGUCAAAUCGAUACAGGUAAGAAAAUAAGAAAAGCCACUGUAAAACAAAAUUCCACAAUACUUGGUAUAUAUUGUUGUUUGUUUCUGU
rnacentral:lncRNA from 1 species